AGAGUUUGAUCAUGGCUCAGAUUGAACGCUGGCGGCAGGCUUAACACAUGCAAGUCGAACGGUAACAGGAGAAAGCUUGCUUUCUUGCUGACGAGUGGCGGACGGGUGAGUAAUGCUUGGGAAUCUGGCUUAUGGAGGGGGAUAACUACGGGAAACUGUAGCUAAUACCGCGUAAUAUCUUUGGAUUAAAGGGUGGGACUUUCGGGCCACCUGCCAUAAGAUGAGCCCAAGUGGGAUUAGGUAGUUGGUGGGGUAAAGGCCUACCAAGCCGACGAUCUCUAGCUGGUCUGAGAGGAUGACCAGCCACACUGGAACUGAGACACGGUCCAGACUCCUACGGGAGGCAGCAGUGGGGAAUAUUGCACAAUGGGGGGAACCCUGAUGCAGCCAUGCCGCGUGAAUGAAGAAGGCCUUCGGGUUGUAAAGUUCUUUCGGUGAUGAGGAAGGUGUUUGUUUUAAUAGAACAAGCAAUUGACGUUAGUCACAGAAGAAGCACCGGCUAACUCCGUGCCAGCAGCCGCGGUAAUACGGAGGGUGCGAGCGUUAAUCGGAAUGACUGGGCGUAAAGGGCACGCAGGCGGUGACUUAAGUGAGAUGUGAAAGCCCCGAGCUUAACUUGGGAAUUGCAUUUCAUACUGGGUUGCUAGAGUAUUUUAGGGAGGGGUAGAAUUCCACGUGUAGCGGUGAAAUGCGUAGAGAUGUGGAGGAAUACCGAAGGCGAAGGCAGCCCCUUGGGAAUAUACUGACGCUCAUGUGCGAAAGCGUGGGGAGCAAACAGGAUUAGAUACCCUGGUAGUCCACGCUGUAAACGCUGUCGAUUUGGGGAUUGGGCUUAGAGCUUGGUGCCCGUAGCU
rnacentral:rRNA from 1 species